CCCUUAGAUGUUCUGGGCGGCCCGCGCACUACAUUGGCACUGGCAACAAGAUCCUAGAUCUGAUAUUUCGGGGUAUUCUACCAACUGGUGUCGUGACUGGGAUUAACCCCUGCAAUUAUUGGUUAUGAACGAGGAAUUCCUUGUAAUCACGGUUUAUCAACCCGUGUUGAAUGCGUCCCUGCCCUUUGUACACACCGCCCGUCGCUCCUACCGAUGAAUCGUCCGGUGAAGUUCAUGGAGUCGCGGCUGCUCCAGCUGUUUUCGAAGUGAAAUGGACCUCAUGAUUUAGAGGAAGGAGAAGUCGUANCA
rnacentral:rRNA from 1 species